UACGUAGGUGGCAAGCGUUGUCCGGAUUUACUGGGCGUCAAGAGCGCGCAGGCGGUCGUGCAAGUCGCGUGUGAAAGCCCCCGGCUCAACUGGGGAGGGUCACGCGAUACUGCUCGACUCGAAGGCAGGAGAGGGAAGUGGAAUUCCCGGUGUAGUGGUGAAAUGCGUAGAUAUCGGGAGGAACACCAGUGGCGAAGGCGACUUCCUGGCCUGUUCUUGACGCUGAGGCGCGAAAGCUAGGGUAGCAAACGGG
rnacentral:rRNA from 1 species